UACGUAGGGUGCAAGCGUUAAUCGGAAUUACUGGGCGUAAAGCGUACGCAGGCGGCUAUGUAAGACAGGUGUGAAAUCCCCGGGCUUAACCUGGGAACUGCAUUUGUGACUGCAUAGCUAGAGUCUGUCAGAGGGGGGUGGAAUUCCACGUGUAGCAGUGAAAUGCGUAGAGAUGUGGAGGAACACCGGUGGCGAAGGCGGUUCUCUGGGCCUGUGCUGACGCUGAGGAGCGAAAGCGUGGGGAGCGAACAGGAUUA
rnacentral:rRNA from 1 species